rnacentral:rRNA from 1 species
CCUAACACAUGCAAGUCGAGCGAGGUAGCAAUACCUAGCGGCAGACGGGUGCGGUAAACAUCGUGGGAAUCGUGCCUUUUGGUUCGGAACAACACGGGGAUACCUGUGCUAAUACCGGAUAAGUCCUUACGGGAGAAAGGUUUUAAUGCCAAAAGAUGAGCCCGCAUUUGAUUAGGCUAGUUGGUGAGGUAAAAGCUCACCAAGGCGAUAAUCAAUAGCUGGUUUGAGAGGAUGAUCAGCCACACUGGGACUGAGAUACGGCCCAGGCUCC